rnacentral:rRNA from 1 species
GUGAGACUGCCGGUGACAAGCCGGAGGAAGUGGGAUGACGUCAAGUCAUCAUGCCCCUUAUGUCCUGGGCUGCACACGUGCUACAAUGGUCGGUACAAUGGGCUGCGAUGCCGCGAGGCGGAGCGAAUCCCAUAAAACCGGCCCCAGUUCGGAUCGAAGGCUGCAACUCGCCUUCGUGAAGUCGGAGUUGCUAGUAAUCGCGGAUCAGCAUGCCGCGGUGAAUACGUUCCCGGGCCUU